rnacentral:lncRNA from 1 species
AGUCUGGCUGUAAACUGGAGAAGCACACAUCCAGCCCUUCUCAAGGGCUCCACAAACCACCCUCUGCAGCUCGCGUCCCCAUUCGUCAAGGACUGGCCACGCAUCCUCGCCCUGACCGCAGCAAGGAUCCUACCUGAGAUAUUCCAGCUGCCUCUUGUCCUGAAGGAGGUGGAGACCAUUUUCCCCCAGCCCUUCCUGGCCCUCCUCUUGCAAGCGUCCUUCACCACGGAGCAGACGGAGCAGGAGGUGGAAAUCUUCUGGGUGGAGCACCAGCAGGGCCAGCUCACUCCCAGCAGGUGCCACAUCCCCACCCCCCCCUGCACCCAGGGACUCAGUGUUGGGGCUCCCGCUGCGACUCGCACCGUUCUCCUCCCGCAGGUCCGCGGUGCGGGCCUUGAAGCUGCUGCUCUGCAGCGGGGCGGCUGGGACGCGCUUCUCAGCGCCGUGACCCACCUCCAGGGUGUGCAGGUGGUGGCCAGGGUGAUGAGGGAACUGCCUGGAGCUCUGCGUGCCCCCAUCUUCCACCAGCUGGUUGAGCUGCUCAGCAACAGCUUUUACUCCUGGGAGAUGGUGGCCAUAGUCUUCCUCACUGAGGCAAGGACAAUGCUCAUCUUCCUGCAGUGCAUCACAGAGCAGCUGCAGGAUGCAGACAGCGACGCCCAUGCCAUUGUACUGCCAAUACUCAGCAACCUGCUGCAGCUCCUGGAGGGCGAUGAGCUCAGCCUCAUGGCUCUGGAGCUGGCCAGCAAGCUCCCAGCGCUCUUUAAUGAGAUAAGGAUGGGAGGGAGCCCAGCACACUAAGGAUUUGGCAACGACCCCAGUGUGCCCAUGCCUGCUGCCCUGUGACAGCACACCAGGGAACUUCCUGGCUGGUCGCCUGUUCCAGGCUCUGUGUGUCCCUGGGCAGACUUCCUGCAGGGCAGAGCUUGUGCACUUUGGAGCAGUUUUGGGGCCAUCCUCAAGAUCUGCCUGCAGCCUCUCAGCUCAGAGAUUCUGCUCCCAUGUGGUUGGCGGUGCUGGCCCUGCUCCGUUGGGCUUGGAGCUGCUGACACUGACAUCCUUCCCUCCUCCUCCACAGGAGUCCAGCACGGUGUGGCAGCUCUCCAUCCACCUCUUCCUCGAAACGCUGAGCUUUGUGG